CCUACGGGUGGCUGCAGUGGGGAAUAUUGCACAAUGGGCGCAAGCCUGAUGCAGCCAUGCCGCGUGUAUGAAGAAGGCCUUCGGGUUGUAAAGUACUUUCAGCGGGGAGGAAGGGAGUAAAGUUAAUACCUUUGCUCAUUGACGUUACCCGCAGAAGAAGCACCGGCUAACUCCGUGCCAGCAGCCGCGGUAAUACGGAGGGUGCAAGCGUUAAUCGGAAUUACUGGGCGUAAAGCGCACGCAGGCGGUUUGUUAAGUCAGAUGUGAAAUCCCCGGGCUCAACCUGGGAACUGCAUCUGAUACUGGCAAGCUUGAGUCUCGUAGAGGGGGGUAGAAUUCCAGGUGUAGCGGUGAAAUGCGUAGAGAUCUGGAGGAAUACCGGUGGCGAAGGCGGCCCCCUGGACGAAGACUGACGCUCAGGUGCGAAAGCGUGGGGAGCAAACAGGAUUAGAUACCCAUGUAGUC
rnacentral:rRNA from 1 species